UGCCUUCUGUUCAGCAGAAGCUGCGCCAUGUCGCCCAUGAUCAUCAGCCUGGUGUGUCUUGAGUUCUUCUUGGUUCAGAGGAUCUGGGCACAAGUGGGUGGUCAGGACAAGCCCUCCCUAUCUGCUUGGCCAAGUCCUGUGGUUCCUCAAGGACAGCAUGUGAAUCUUUGGUGUCACUCUCAUCUCGGGUUUGACACAUUCAGACUGGACAAGCCCACAUCCCUGAGCUUCAGGGCAUAAUAUUCCAGAACACCUUCCUCAUGGGCCCUGUGACGCCAGCACAUGCAGGAACCUACAGAUGUGAUGGUUCUUACAGGCACUCCCCCUCUGUGUGGUCAGCACCCAGUGACCCCCUGGUGAUUGUGGUCACAGGAGUCUACAGAAAACCUUCCUUCUUGGCCCAGCCGAGUCCCCUGGUGCAAUCAGGACAAAAUGUGACCCUGCAGUGUUGCUCAGAGAUCGUGUUUGACAGCUUCAUUCUGCACAGAGAGGGGGUAAUGGAGAGCCCCUUACACCUUGUUGGGCAGCUCCAUGAUGGGGGCUCCCAAGCCACCUUCCUCAUGGGUCCUGUGACGACAGCCCAUGCGGGGACCUACAGAUGCUUUGGUUCUACCAAUUACUCCUCCUAUGAGUGGUCGACCCCCAGUGACCCACUGAACAUCACGAUCACAGGUCUAUACAAAAAACCUCUCUUAACCCAGUUGAGCCCAGUGCUUCUGCUCCCUCUCUGCAACUUUAAGGGAGGGAGUCAAGUCCCCAGGGACAUGGGAAGGUGAUCCCAGGACUCCCAGGAGCUCAGCGUUAGAAGACAAAGGAUCUGCAGUGGGGUAGAGGAUGGGCAGCUUCAUUUCCUCAUCUCUCUCCUGUCCUGUUUUCAACACUGGAGCUUCUGACUCCAAUCCUCAUCCAUGGACCCUGGGACCUCAGGUAUUGACCUCACGUCACCAAGAUUACACAGUGGAGAAUAUCAUCCAGUUGGGCAUGGCUGGCUUGAUCCUGGUAGUCCUUGGGAUUCUGCUAUUUCACGCUCAGCACACCCAGAGAAGAGCCCAAGAUUCUGACAGGAGGUAAACAGAAGAAGGAUAACUGCACCAUUCAGAGUGCUUGAGCCUUGGAAGAAAUCUGAUGAUCCCAGGAGGUUUAAAGAAACUCUGGACCAUAAGUUUGGGGAUCUGUCUGCUGAGAAUGUUGAGGGGUCUAAACCUGAUUUAGAUGCAGGAAAACGUCUAGAGUGCUCCCUGUACAGGACUCUAAAGCCAUUAAAUGUGUAUUUUUCUCUCCCUA